rnacentral:rRNA from 1 species
GGUGGGGAUGACGUCAAUCAUCAUGCCCCUUAUGACCUGGGCUACACACGUGCUACAAUGGUUGGUACAACGAGUUGCGAGUCGGUGACGGCGAGCUAAUCUCUUAAAGCCAAUCUCAGUUCGGAUUGUAGGCUGCAACUCGCCUACAUGAAGUCGGAAUCGCUAGUAAUCGCGGAUCAGCACGCCGCGGUGAAUACGUUCCCGGGCCUU